rnacentral:rRNA from 1 species
CCUACGGGAGGCAGCAGUGAGGAAUAUUGGUCAAUGGCCGGAAGGCUGAACCAGCCAUGCCGCGUGAAGGGCAGUGACCUAAGGGCGUUAAACUUCUUUUGUGCGGGAGCAAUAAUGGUCACGUGUGGCCAGACGAGAGUACCGUACGAAGAAGCACCGGCUAACUCCGUGCCAGCAGCCGCGGUAAAACGGGGGUUGCAAGCGUUAACCGGUUUUAUUGGGUUUAAAGGGUGCGUUGGCUGUGAGGUAAGUCAGCGGUGAAAUGCCCCCGCUCAACGGGGUGAAGUGCCAUUGAUACUGCCUUGCUGGAGUGCGGAUGCCGUGGGAGGAAUGUGUGGUGUAGCGGUGAAAUGCAUAGAUAUCACGCAGAACACCGAUUGCGAAGGCAUCUCACGAAUCCGCGAUUGACGCUGAUGCACGAAAGCGUGGGUAUCAAACAGGAUUAGAUACCCUUGUAGUC